rnacentral:rRNA from 1 species
CUGUCUCAAAGAUUAAGCCAUGCAUGUCUCAGUACAAGCCAAAUUAAGGUGAAACCGCGAAAGGCUCAUUAAAUCAGUUAUGGUUCCUUAGAUCGUACCCACAUUUACUUGGAUAACUGUGGUAAUUCUAGAGCUAAUACAUGCAAACAGAGCUCCGACCUGAAACGGAAGGAGCGCUUUUAUUAGAUCAAAACCAAUCGGUGGCGGUGUUCGCAUCGUCAUCGUACAACUUGGUGACUCUGAAUAACUCUUUGGCUGAUCGCACGGUCUCGCACCGGCGACGCAUCUUUCAAAUGUCUGCCUUAUCAACUGUCGAUGGUAGGUUCUGCGCCUACCAUGGUUGUAACGGGUAACGGGGAAUCAGGGUUCGAUUCCGGAGAGGGAGCCUGAGAAACGGCUACCACAUCCAAGGAAGGCAGCAGGCGCGCAAAUUACCCACUCCCGGCACGGGGAGGUAGUGACGAAAAAUAACGAUACGGGACUCAUCCGAGGCCCCGUAAUCGGAAUGAGUACACUCUAAACCCUUUAACGAGGAUCAAUUGGAGGGCAAGUCUGGUGCCAGCAGCCGCGGUAAUUCCAGCUCCAAUAGCGUAUAUUAAAGUUGUUGCGGUUAAAAAGCUCGUAGUCGAAUCUGUGUCGCGCACCGACGGUUCAUCGUUCGCGGUGCUAACUGGCGAGUCGCGCGACGUCCUGCCGGUGGGCUUAGCCCGUCAAGGGCGGCCCAACUCAAUCCCGCCGCGGUGCUCUUCAUUGAGUGUCGAGGUGGGCCGGCACGUUUACUUUGAACAAAUUAGAGUGCUUCAAGCAGGCUAAAAUUUCGCCUGAAUAUUAGUGCAUGGAAUAAUGGAAUAGGACCUCGGUUCUAUUUUGUUGGUUUUCGGAACCCCGAGGUAAUGAUUAAUAGGAACGGAUGGGGGCAUUCGUAUUGCGACGUUAGAGGUGAAAUUCUUGGAUCGUCGCACGACGGACAG